CCUACGGGGGGCUGCAGUGAGGAAUAUUGGUCAAUGGACGAGAGUCUGAACCAGCCAAGUAGCGUGAAGGAUGACUGCCCUAUGGGUUGUAAACUUCUUUUAUAUGGGAAUAAAAUGUUCCACGUGUGGGAUUUUGUAUGUACCAUAUGAAUAAGGAUCGGCUAACUCCGUGCCAGCAGCCGCGGUAAUACGGAGGAUCCGAGCGUUAUCCGGAUUUAUUGGGUUUAAAGGGAGCGUAGGUGGAUUGUUAAGUCAGUUGUGAAAGUUUGCGGCUCAACCGUAAAAUUGCAGUUGAAACUGGCAGUCGUGAGUACAGUAGAGGUGGGCGGAAUUCGUGGUGUAGCGGUGAAAUGCUUAGAUAUCACGAAGAACUCCGAGUGCGAAGGCAGCUCACUGGACUGCAACUGACACUGAGGCUCGAAAGUGUGGGUAUCAAACAGGAUUAGAUACCCCUGUAGUC
rnacentral:rRNA from 1 species